rnacentral:rRNA from 1 species
AUUGAACGCUGGCGGCAGGCCUAACACAUGCAAGUCGAGCGGAGCGGCGGACGGGGGAGUAAUGCCUAGGAAUCUGACUGGUCGUGGGGGAGAACGUCCGGAAACGGGCGCUAUUACAGCAUACUAUCAGACGAGCCUAGGGCGGAUUAGCUAGUUGGUGUGGUAAAGGCCUACCAAGGCGACGACCCCUAACUGGUCUGAGAGGAGGAUCAGUCACACUGGAACUGAGACACGGUCCAGACUCCUACGGUAGGCAGCAGUGGGGAAUAGUGGACAAUGGGCGAAAGCCUGAUCCAGCCAUGCCGCGUGUGUGAAGAAGGUCUUCGGAUUGUAAAGCACUUUAAGUUGGGAGGCGUUACCAGCAGAAUAAGCACCGGCUAACUUCGUGCCAGCAGCCGCGGUAAUUC